CGACAGGCUUAACACAUGCAAGUCGAGGGGCAGCGAGGGAGUGGCAACACUUCUGUCGGCGACCGGCGCACGGGUGAGUAACGCGUAUGCAACCUGCCCUUCACAGGGGGAUAACCGGGAGAAAUUCCGACUAAUACCGCAUACGUCCUCCGGGGGCAUCCCCGGGGGAUGAAAGAGUCAUCGGUGAAGGAUGGGCAUGCGUGAUAUUAGGUAGUUGGCGGGGCAACGGCCCACCAAGCCCACGAUAUCUAGGGGUUCUGAGAGGAAGGUCCCCCACAUUGGUACUGAGACACGGACCAAACUCCUACGGGAGGCAGCAGUGAGGAAUAUUGGUCAAUGGACGAGAGUCUGAACCAGCCAAGUCGCGUGAAGGAAGACGGAUCUAUGGUUUGUAAACUUCUUUAGUGCGGGAACAAAGCGGCGUCGUGACGCCGGAUGAGUGUACCGCAAGAAUAAGCAUCGGCUAACUCCGUGCCAGCAGCCGCGGUAAUACGGAGGAUGCGAGCGUUAUCCGGAUUUAUUGGGUUUAAAGGGAGCGCAGGCUGCGAGGCAAGUCAGCGGUCAAAUGUCGGGGCUCAACCCCGGCCUGCCGUUGAAACUGUCCUGCUAGAGUUCGAGUGAGGUAUGCGGAAUGCGUUGUGUAGCGGUGAAAUACAUAGAUAUGACGCAGAACUCCGAUUGCGAAGGCAGCAUACCAACUCGCGACUGACGCUGAGGCUCGAAAGCGUGGGUAUCGAACAGGAUUAGAUACCCUGGUAGUCCACGCAGUAAACGAUGAAUACUAACUGUUCGGAGGGCGACCUCUGAGUGGUAAAGCGAAAGCGUUAAGUAUUCCACCUGGGGAGUACGCCGGCAACGGUGAAACUCAAAGGAAUUGACGG
rnacentral:rRNA from 1 species